UUCGGCGCUGGGCAUGGAGAGAGGGGCGCGUAGCGGGGCUGGGGCCUCUGAGGCGGAGUUUGCCCCCGGCCCUGUGAGAGGCUUGGUAGUCAACUGGUCAGGUCAAGGAUUGCAAAAACUGGGUCCAACUUUACCCUGUGAUGCUGAUACUCACACUCUGAUUCUGGACAAAAACCAGAUAAUUAAAUUGGAACACUUGGAGAAAUGCAGGAAUCUGGUGCAGCUCUCUGUAGCCAACAAUCGUUUGGUGCGAAUGAUGGGUGUAGCAAAACUCACUAAACUUCGUGUGCUAAACUUGCCUCAUAAUAGUAUUGGGUAUGUGGAAGGGCUGAAGGAUUUGGUGCACCUGGAAUGGCUGAACUUGGCAGGAAAUAACCUGAAGGCCAUUGAACAAAUCAACUGCUGUGUGUCUCUUCAGCAUCUUGAUUUAUCAGACAAUAACAUAGCUCAAUUGGGCGAUCUCUCCAAGCUUACGUCACUGAAGACUCUGUUGCUACAUGGAAAUAUUAUAACUUCACUUCGCACUGCCCCUGUUUGCCUACCUCAGAAUCUGACUGUUCUUUCUUUAGCAGAAAAUGAAAUCAGAGACUUAAAUGAGGUUUCUUUCCUGGCCUGUCUUCAUCAAUUGGAACAGCUGUCAGUUAUGAACAAUCCUUGUGUAAUGGCCACACCUUCUGUCCCUGCCUUUGACUACAGGCCGUAUAUUGUCAGCUGGUGUCUGAACCUUAAAGUUCUUGAUGGAUAUGUGAUUUCUCAGAAGGAAAGUUUGAAAGCAGAAUGGCUCUACAGUCAAGGUAAAGGAAGAUCAUAUCGACCUGGGCAGCAUGUUCAGCUAGUUCAGUACUUGGCUACUGUUUGUCCUCUUAUAUCUACAUACGGUCUCCAGACUGAAGAGGAUGCCAAACUGGAAAAAAUACUCAGUAAGCAGAGGCUCCACCAGAGGCAGUUGAUGCAUCAGAACCAAAAUGAAGGAGCUCCUGCGUCUUCUACUCCUAACAAAACCCUGCCAGUUGCUUAUGAACACAGCAGUCCAGCCCAGCCGCCACAGAUAGUUCUUGAAAGUGAGCCUAUCAUCCAGAAGAAUUCUUGGGUUGGACCAAGUGUAAAUGACGAUCAUUCCUAUGCAGUAAAGAACACUUUUCUUCCUGAAAGAAGUUUUCAAAAGGAGCUAUACCUUGAAGAUAUACAGGUUGAUGAAGACAAACUAAACAGCAGCCUUUUAUCCUCAGAGUCUACUUUCAUGCCAGUUGCUUCAGGGUUGUCUCCGGUGUCUCCUACUUCAGACCUGAAGCUACAUGGAAUCAAUUUGAGCCUGGAAGAUGCCGAUGAUACAGUAUUUGAAUGUGUGAGAGAUGUUAAUAGUGGGGAAAUAGCUAAUAAGCAAGAAACUUUAUGUAUUACAAGAGAGGACUGUAACAGAGGAGUGGAAAGUGAGAGAACUCAAGAGAACGUCAAAGAGAGUAUGCUGUUGCCUUCUACUGAUCCAGUAACAUCUAGCCUGACUGCUAAUACUGGUGAUAGUUCAGCAUCCUCUGAAGACCGGAUUCUUCAUAGUCAGCCCAGCACCUCAGCAGGUGCUGAAUCAGGAGUUAUGACUCUCUGUCCUGACCAGAUGGCAGGAGAAAGUUCCGAUUCUUUAACUGUUGUCGCAGCUGAACUGGAAAGAAUGACUAAAGCAGCUACUAAGCUUCAGGCCUGCUGGAGAGGAUUUUACACAAGGAACUACCAUCCCCGAGCCAAGGAAGUGCGUUAUGAAAUUCGGCUAAACAGAAUGCAGGAGCAUAUAAUUUGCUUAAGUGAUGAAAUAGAAAAGCUAAGACAAGAAAGAGAGGAAGAUAAGAUUCAGAGGCUUGUACAGGAAGAAGCUGUCAGAUUUCUUUGGAACCAGGUUAAAUCCCUUCAACAAUGGCAGCUUUCAGUGACACAAAAUUCAGGUGCCACUUGGCAACCUGGGAUCCUUUCAGCCAAUAAUUUCUGUCCAUCCGAACCAUCUAUUCAAUCAUUCAUUCUUGAGCAAGAAACCCCACCGGAUGUUAGUGCUGCUUGCUUAGUUCCAGCUAGCGAUAUUCUUCAGGUAAAGUCUUUGUCACGAUUCCCAGAUUCUGGUUUUCAUACUUCCAUGGCUGAUCAGACUCACGGUGGUGACUUGUGUAGCUCUGAAAAGAGCUUAACAGAAAGAAUGGAGAGUUCUCUUUCAGUGGAGACUGUCAAACAGUGUGACAACUCUGUUUCAUCAUAUUCUUCAGAUGUAGAGGAUGACCAUGGGGAAUCUGGGCAAAGUAAAGAGAGCUCUAGCAAUGAGCAGGACAACAGACUAAUACAACAGUAUUUGAAAUCUGUUCAGCAGCUGGAAGAGGCUGAUGAAGGAUCAAAUUGCAAUGAUGAAACAGGGGGAUGCUGGCCUCCAAUCGCUGUUUCAGCAGAAAGCCAAGAGUCUUCAACUGAUGCUGUCUCUGUAGAUCUCCUUCAGGAUACAUCUUCCCCUGCCCGAGGUGAAAUGGGUCAGACACCAGAAAGCUGCAAACUGAAUUCGGGAAUAGUAGAAGGGAAGCAAACAGACUGUGAUUCUUCAUUUCAAAUGCUGCAUGUUGGGAUAGCUGUAUAGUAGGCUCAGUUCCACAGAGGACUAGGGAUUCCAUUUCACUUUAUUUUUCCUGUUUACACAAAACGUAUUUUUCCUGUGUGCUCUUUCAGAUUUUUGACUCGUGUUAACAAUUUAUGGUUUAAUUAGUAUUUUAUUGAUGUUGCUGAGGGCUGAUACUAACUAUGCUAAUCUGAAAUCAGCAAAGUUCUCAGUGACGGUCAUUAUGCACUUUAUUUUCAAAUGUAAAACUGAUAACCUAAUAACUGGCUUCCACUAAGUUAAUUCUGAAGAUUAGGGGUAUUGUGGGGGUGGUAUUUGCUGUAAAUUCACUUCAGUGAAUGUAUUAGUCUUCGAAUUUUUUUCUAAAAAGCAGGACUGAGUUCUUUGCAAAGAGAAGGAAAUGUUACGGAAUGAAACCACAUCAAUAUAGGCAGCAUAUGUGUGUAUGGAUACAACCUGAUCAGAGAGACGAAAGCAGUUGCCUUUUAGACUUCUUUUGACUUCAACAAGGGUAGUUUGAUCAGUGUUUCAAAGAUGCAUUCCAUGAAACCAGUGUCCAAGUUGGUGACUUCUGUUUGUCAUUUACAUGAAGCUGCUGGCUAGGACUAAAGUCACUUAUGUAUGCACUGAAAACAGGAAUCAGACCUCAGGAAGCUUCAAACAAACUUUGACCUUUGUUUGUCCUGAGUUUGAAUCUCUCUGCUUUCUCAGGUAAGACUCAAAAUGGAACCAAUAGCAGCCUUUACUAAAUAAGAAUUUCCAAAAGGCAUGUGAUGUGGGAACACAGUUUCCAAGGCUGCACUUCUGGGUUCUAGCAGCAGACGUGGUGACACGUAUUUGGUGGAUGACAACUACUUCUGUCUACAGGUAUAAAUGUUAAAAGCAAAUGUCGUGACUUAAAACUAUUUCUUGGCAUCUCUUUUGGUUUGGGUUUUUUUGGUUUUCCCGUGUCCAGUUUUGACAUUCUAAUUAGAUGUGGAUAAAAAGCUAUAUUUCUUCCCUGUUGGCAAAUGAGCUAAGUUACUUAGGCUGUGCUUUCCACUUGAACCCUGGGCAAGCAGUAGGGUUUGUAUUUUGCCUACCCAUUGCUGUGGUGUUUUUCAACAGAAAAAGAUCAGGUAUCUCAGUAUGCCAUAAAAGUGGCAAGGGAAAUCUGUUUUGCCAUGCGAUUUCUAAUUGACACUAGUAAAAUAAAAGUUGCUGUUGUGACUUUUAGGGGUCAAUUCAGUUUGCUAAUACUGCAUUUUGCAAUAUGCACUGGAAGGGCCAGUUUUUCAAAUGUGUUAGUAUUAACUCCUUAGAUAUAGAGACACAUGCGUAUUUUCUGAAUCUGCAGGUUACCUUCUGGUGCUAUGGUGUCCUUAAAAUCAACUAGUGCUGUUUUAAAGUGACUAAUGACCAUGUUGCCAUGAAUUUAAUUUUUAUAAAAGCUUUGGUUGUUUGUCUAGUUUGAGCUGAAAUUUACCACUACUUAGGAGUUUGGCCUGAGGCCAGUAUCCACUUGAGGCCUCAAAAUAGCCUUUAUUUAGAACAUAAAUGGUGUAUUGGACUUGUACCAGCCAUCUAUCCAGUGGUGAAGCUCACCUUGGAAGAAUAAAGCUUGCUUCUGUGUACAGGGUGGCCAUUAUCUCUUUUUUUCCCACCCUCCAAAAAAAUAAGUUCUAGGGCACUAUCUUCUCCAAAGAGCUGUCAUUGCUGUCAAGCUGAUGUUUGACUGUGCCUUGCAUGCAUGACAGCAUUUUAAAAAAAGACAAAAAACAAAACAGCCGAGGUGAUAGAUUCUUCAUGUGUUCUCUUUUAGUCUAGGUACAGCACACUUGUAGCAUAACCAUAUUCAUAAUUAGGUCUUAGAGCAUGAGUGUGCCUGGGAAUUGAAAGUGGUACAGGUGCAUUAACGUAUCGCAACAUCUAAUUAACCACGCAAAGAGGUGUGUAGGCUACAUGAUCAUACCCUGGUCCCAAAGGUUCUCAACUUGUGUUUAAGUAUGCCUUGCUGGGAGAUCUCCACAGUUCAUUAGAUUUAGCUCUUUGACUGACAAUCUGUUAUUAAAAACAAAACAAACAAAAAAAAUUGUGUAAAACUUUUAAAGAGACUCUUUGAGUUUUGAGAGAGAUUUGUUAAACAGUGGUUGGACCUUAUGCUCUGGAAGCAGUUAUUAGGUGUAGUAAAACAGUAAGUUCUCUUUUGUGGCCGAGUGCUGUAUUAGCAUAUGCAAAAACUGGGAGAAAUUAGACCACUGUCUGGAUAAAAAUGUUUCACUAGCUGUAGACACUGAGGGACUAUAUAUAUUUUGCUAUUUUGUUUUAUUGUCACUUUUUGCUGCAGAAUUUGGAAGAGGAGAAACAACUUUAAUUUUGGAGGUCUCAGAAGGGGAAACUAGAUGAAGCUGAAUUUUUCAUGGAAGGCCUAGACAUUUCUUGACGUUGCCCCGGUUACUGGGGCUUGCAAACGCCAACACAAAGACUUUUUUUUAACUAAUGCCUAGGUCAGCUGCUGGCUUUUUAAACUUGUAACCCAUAUAUCCAGAAUCAAUUUUGUGAAGAUCCAUCCAAGUUUGUACCAACAUAUAAUUAGCUUCAUCUUAGUCUUGUGGGAAAGCUGUGAAAUAUAAAAGAUUUUUUUUCAUGAUGAUCUGAAAAGUAUCUUGCAUGUGUAGAAGAUGAGCUACCUAAAUAUAAAGAAAUUGCAAAGAGUGAAGUUUUGGAUUAGUUUCUACAGGGUCAAAUGUAAUUAGUUUGUAUAUAGACAAAAUAUUUUCAUCCUGACAACUAAAAUACAUACAGGGGAAGACGUAAUGGGAGAUAGAGUGGAAAAAUAAAGAAUCAAACUAGAUGUAUAGUUAAAAAUGACUUCAUUCAGUCAGUUUUGAGCUCUCAAUAGCGAUCUAGAGAUAUCAUAGUUUAACAUGCAGUUUAACAUUUACUCUUCUUUGUUUCUAUAAGUUUUCUUAACUAGGUAUGUAAUGGUCUUUUACCUGGAUAGGCAUGCACAUUUUCCUUUGGAGAUGAUGGAAAUUUCGUAAAGGAAUUGGAAAGCCUCAUAGAUGAAAAUCUAUGUCUGAAAUUUUUGCAUAUUUAAUAUUAUGGUCUUCAUAAUUUUCCUUUUGCAAGGUUUCACGUUCAACAGAAGAAUGUACUUUAUUACGGAAAAUCUUGUCUGUUGUAGUUUGUCCUGUGCUGGAUCAUCCAGUGCUGAUGGAAGAGAUUACAAAUAUGUGUCAGGCAAUGUUGUCGGCUCUGCUGUGAGUAAAGUUUAAGCACUUCUUUAAUUUGCUUCAGAAAAAUUGGCUAAAUAGAGCUCAGGCUAAAUAGUUACACCAUUCGACACAAGUAGUUUUUCUCCAAAUUAUGUGGUUGGCAUAUGCAAACCCUUUCAGCUAGUCUGUGGCAAACAUUACUCUGUUGCCACAGACAGAGGGACAAAAGGAAAAGUGGAAAUUUAUCCGUUUUCAGGUUUAAUUUGUGAUUGUAACACCAACUCUUCUAUGAUUGGUAUUUUGAUUUUCUCCCAAUCAUUUUUCUAGCUUAUUUCAAUACAUUUCAAUCCUGCAUGUAAUCAAGAAUGCAUUUUUUCUACUGUAUGUAAUAUUUGAUAGACAUUGUUUCAUGUGGUAUUUGGAAAGGUAAAAGAGUGUCAUGAAAGCAAGUCUGUUUGCAUUCUGUACUUCAAGGCUCUUUUAAGGUAUUUGGAUUGCAUUGAUUCCUCUCUGUUAGAUAACGUCUUUACAAAAGAAAAAUAUAAGGCAACGAACGCCUCGUUAAUGACAGUAAGUAAAUUUCUGUUUCUGCCUUUUUCCAUGAACUGAGCUUAAUAGUCACUGCUCUGGUUUUAGUACCUAAAUCUGUAAUAUAAAUGAACGAGAGAUUUCACUGCUGAUUGUAUGCAGCAAUUCUUAAUGGUUUGGGUUUGGUUUUUUUUUUGGUAUGGUAACUAUUCCUGUGUGGUGCUAUUUUGUAAACAAAGUAUGUGUGGCAAGCAUAGAAUUUAUAAGAGGUACCGAACGUUGGCUUAACUCUGCCUUCAUUUCCUUAGAAGAAGCAGAGUCAUGCUUCAGCUGAGUCCUUGUGAACUGGCUGUCUAAAUUGGGAUUUUAUCAUAUUUACAUCUCCAAAAGUGUUCUUAUAUCACAAACCAAGAAAGCAUUAAGACUGCAGACUUUAGUUUGUUUUUAAAAGACAAAUUUAUCUUUCAGCAAAUACUUGAGAGUCUUUGUUAAACUGAGUCGCAGAACCUGUUUGUUUAUAGUUAAGUUCCUUAAACAGCCAUAGAUUAUACUAUUUGCAUGCAGCAAUUUAAAUAAUACACUUAGCAGCCAGUCUGUCUGUAUAUAAACAAGUUUGCUAUUUUCCUGAAUAAUGUUGUAUAGAACUCAGCUCGCAAGUUGUUCCUGGUUUUUAUGAAUUUGUAUAUAUUGUCUGAAGAACUCCAGUCUUAAAUUCUACUUGUAGUAGGUUGUUUGAUGAACAAAAAUGGGAGAUACAUUCCUUUGGGAUUACGUGGGUACUUUUUACUGGACUUAAAGUUAUAACGAGUCUUGCACAAGUAGACAUUUUUCCUGAGAGGAUAGGAUUAUAGCAUUUAGUGGAGAUUAACUGAAGACAAAAUGUAAAAACUGGUCAGUUCCCUUGCUUUAGCUAGUGGAAAAGAGACUUUUUUCCUGUUGUAUUAGUGCUUUUUUUUUCCUCCCUUGAGGACUGUGCCACCCAAAUAAAUAAGAAUCAAAUAUUCAUGAAGUCUUUCAGUAAGUCUUCUUUAAUUAGUUACAGGGUUUUUUUUCCCCAGUUUGGCUUUCUAGAACAAGUUACUGAAAAAGCACUUGUUUUCUAUAUGCCUGUCAAAAAGCUGAGACCUUACAUUUUUAAAUACGUUCUUUAUGUCAGUAAUGGAAGAAGCACAGAAUCCUUUACGUGCAAAAGCAUAGAACAGUAUUUACCAGGAAAGGUGCUUUAUCUCUUGGAAAGUGCCAAGCCAAAUUUUAUUAUUUAAGAACUCUCAAAAAGAAACUUGUGUCUUCAUGACACUUAUAACUGUGUGGGCCAAAUUCACUUGUAGCAUAAUUCUAUUGAACUAAAUUUUGUUGAGCCUUUCACAGUAGUAGUCUACCUCUAAACUAGAAUCUGCAAAAAGAGCAAUUGGGCAUUGAUUUGUCUUUCUACUUCUCACUGUUUUCUGUGAAGAAUGGUGGGUGGUUAAAUUGGUACAGUUCAUAUAUUUUCUAUAAGUAUUUACACUUCUGGAUUUAUUGUUUCUUAAAUAUUUUGUUUGUACCUCUGAGUUUUGAAUUUUAAAUAAAUUAUUUGUACGUUUAUUGAAAGUGUUAAUUUGUACUUGAUCCUUAACGGCUAGUAGUCAUUCUCUUAUGCUUCGAGGGCUCUCUUGGAGACAAAAAGAUUAAAGUACAAAACCACUGAUGACAAGGUAAGCAUUAGCAUUCACGACUUGGUACAGCUGAGGCAUCUGAUGGCCCACUGUUUCAGUGUUGAAGACAGUAAGUGUGUGGUAGGGUACUCAAAUUUAUACACCAAUUGAUUAGCAGAUGUCACUGAAAUAGGUAUUCAUGACUUGCAGCCCUUUGUUUCUGUCACUGCCCCUCUCUUUCAUGUUUUUAAUUCUCUACUUUGUUUAAAUGAAAUAUGUGGCAGUAUUCUGCAUAGAGCUUUCUAGAAAGAGAACUAAGGCUAUGCGCUUAUCAAGAGAAAUACAACUGUUAUUCCCUCUCCUACUAUUUCGGUUUGCUCAGUUACCUGCUGUGGGCUUAAAAAGAUGAAUACUAACUUAACGUCUUUCAGGCUUUAAGAGACAAACAGUCCAGGAGCUCAGCCAUAUUUGAAAGUCAUGUUUUAAUGCAGGACUGUCACCCUAAAAGUAAAACAAACAAACAAAAAUUCCCCCCAAAUAACUUUGUUUUGCUUACCUCUUAUUUCACACAUGGAGGUUAGUGGGCAUUUUUUAUCUCUUUACUGUGUGUUUCUACUUCAUUACACUGAAGAAAUUAGCUGAGGUUUUUAAGUGAGACUCUUCUGUGAAGAUAUUUGAAAGAUGGAAAUGGAUGCAGCUACGGUGACUUCAAAUCUUAAAAGGGAAGAGCAGUGCUGUUUCUCUUGGAGUAGUUAAGACCUUAAAUUUGUACUAUUAAGUUUAAAUGCUUUAUAUUAUAGUGGUAGUAACCGUAACACUUGAGGAGCUUGGGCUGAAGGUCCCUCUUGUCCCUGUGUUUGAUUCAUGUUUGACAUAAAAAUAUUUGCCUACAGAUGGAAAAUAAAUGGAUAAAUUUGUCUAGUGGAUGGAACCAAUUUUGUUUAAAUGGAAAUAGUUUCUUUUAAUUUUAUGGGCUGAAAUCCUUACAUACCCUAAGGGCUGAGUUUGAUACAGUUGCAAAUGCACAAGCCACUAUGCUCAAAUAGAGCUUGCAUCAGUACCUCACUGGUUUCAAGCCAUAGUACUGCAUUUGUGAAGGCUCUGUGGCCAUAUAAUGCAUCCACCUGCCAUAUAAGUAGAAGGAAGUUUACUUUGGCCUAACUGGGACAGCACAUAGGGGUCUUAACAGCUCUUAAUAUGUGGCUUUCUCAACUUUAUUUGUCACUGAUGGAGCCCAUUCUUGCUUUCUGUCUAAAUCUUGGCAUGGGUUUUGCCUAUAAAUAAGGAUAUUUUCAGACAUGUCACUUGUGACACUCCAUUGUAAGUUCUUGUGAAUCUGGAAUGGUGCAUGUGACUGCAAACAAUCCACCGUGUUCUCCUUGGUCUAGGAGCAUCAAGACCAAUGGAGCCAACAUGCUGUGCUUGAUGAUUAUGCCUGUUGUCCCUUCUUGAGGAUUGCUAGGACCUUUCAGCUGAAGUUUUCCAGUCCCUUGAGAACUUGCAGCAUGUUUUCUGGUGUGGGAACUGCAUAAGCAAUGAGCCGAGGAGGUUGUCACUGCGUUUGUGUGGAGAGGCUAUGGGACCUGAGGAGAAACAGGAGACACUGAGAAACUGCAGCCUGAACUCUCUUCUUCCUUCCAUCAUUAGCUUGCACAGCCUCCUCAGAUUUAAGCAAACACAUGUGCUAUUGGAGCCCGUGUUUUCAAGAUCAGCUGUCUUGUAGUGCUUAGCUCC